UGGUGGAGUGAUUUGUCUGGUUAAUUCCGAUAACGAACGAGACCUUAACCUGCUAAAUAGUCAGGCCAGCUUCGGCUGGUCGCAGGCUUCUUAGAGGGACUAUCGGCUUCAAGCCGAUGGAAGUUUGAGGCAAUAACA
rnacentral:rRNA from 1 species